GCUUACUCAAUUUAGUUUUAAUAGUCGUUCUUUUUGACCCAGACGUUUUGAUAUAGUUCUGAAACCACUCAUCACUUGCAGCAUGAAAAGUUAGUGACUUAAGUGUAGUAGGUGUCUUAUCAUUCAGUUUUGCUUCUAUACGCUCAUUUAAGAGCCUUUGAGCUUCUUUUUGUGAUUGCUUACCAUUCUUAUUAAGAACCACACUAACACGUC
rnacentral:sRNA from 1 species